AUGAUUUCUUUCUCAGAAGGUGUAGUUCCGGCCCAGGGCUUGGAAGAGCAGAUCCCGCUUCACGCUGACAGUCGGCAUGGUGAGUCAGGCCCCAGGGCCUAUCUUGGCACUUUUGAAUAUCCCUUCUAUUUCCCAAUGUGUCUGCCUCAGUGUGGAUGCCGAAAGCAUGUCACCUCUCAGCUCAAUGAAUACACUGCUAGCUAGAGCAGAAGACACCUAGUUUACACCUCCAGACUAGCAACAAUGAAUAACAAAUGGUAAGCAGAGUUCGGGCAUCAAACAGAAUGAUAUUAAAGGUUCUGACUUAGACUACUUAUUUUUCACGAGCCAAAUAACUCAAUAGAGCUGAGUGAUGGUUUUUACAAGCCCGUCAAAGUGACAGCUUAGUUAGGGUGUGCUGCAGAAAACAACUCAAUAAAACUAUGUAAACUGAUUGUUUACACAACUUGAGCGUUUUUCUUUUCAUUUUCCCUCCCUACUAAAACAAAACCCAAGAAAGGGCAUUAGCAAUUUUUAUUUUCUAAGAGCAUCUCUUCUUGGCAAAGUACAAAUUGGACCUCCACCUCCUAGUUUUUGUCGUAUUGAGGGUCCUGUGUUGUUAUCUAUUAAGAUUUUGUUUUCCUACUCCAGGGAUUUAAUGUGUCAUCUCAACCACCAUCUUAGCAGUUUUCUAUUAUGCAUCAACACAUGCAAAUGCACACACACACACAGAGCUUAUGUAUAUUAUAUGUUUUAUACAUACACAUAUACAGUAUAUGUAAUAUAUAAUUACUCUAUCUGUAUUUUUAUAAGACAUUCUUAUACCUCAGCCUUUGGCUAAUAAAUAGCUUAUUCAUUUCUCCUUAAGAACUAUCCAAAGUUGAAUUCUUAUUUGGCUUUAUAAAUGAAAUCACCUGACUGCUACUUAUGAUAAAUUCCAUCAAGGUUAAUGUGAGAAUCUGAGAAUUUCUUCCCAAUAGACUCACAAGUAGUUUGGGUGCUAAUGCUGCUUUUCCCCUGACUUUACUACUCACCUCCCAUCAAGAUCAUCGGCUCAGGAAUCAGACUGCCUGAGUUCAAUUCCUGACUCUCUCACUUACCAGCUUUAGGACUUAUAGGCAAUUUUCUUAGCCAUUUUAUGUCUAUUUUCUAUAAAAUAGAGACAACCAUUAUAGAGUUUUGUAGGGAUUAAAAUGAAUUAUUGAGUAUAUAAUAUGUAACAUAGACCCUGGUGCUUAGUAAGCACUCAAUUAAUGUUUGUUGCUUGGUUACUCUUAUCAUUAGGCUUCUAAGUUCUCUACCAUAAUUUAGGGAAGUGGGUAUAGAAUAUCAUAAUCCAAUAAGUCCACUACUUAUGGUAUUGUUUUCAAAGCCAGUAAACAAAUGGUCAAUUAUAAGCUUUUAAACUUGUAUCAUUAAAGUCCUGUGUGAUGGUUAAUUUUGUGUGUCAAGUUGGUAUGGCUAUGGUGUCAAGUUUGGUCAAACAUCAGUAUAGAUGUUCCGUGAAGACAUUUUUUUGGAUAUGAUUAAUGUCUAAAUCAAUAGCCUUUGAGUGAAACAGACUACCCUCCAUAAUGUGAGUGUGCCUCAUUUAAUCAGUUCAGGGCCUUAAGCAAAGAAUGAGAUUUCCCAAAGAAGAAACAAUUCUGUCUCCAGACUGCAACCCUGCCUGUUUCCAGUAUGGUUGACCUGUCCUGUGCACUUCACUAUUAAGAUUGCAAUAUCAACUCUUACCUUAAUUUACAGCCUGGUAACUAGCCCUACAGAUUUCAGACUUACCAGUUCCAAUAAUCAUCUGAUCUAAUUCCUUAAAAUAAAUCUCUUUAAAAAAAGAAAGUAAAAUGAAAUCUU
rnacentral:lncRNA from 1 species